UACGAAGGGGGCUAGCGUUGCUCGGAAUCACUGGGCGUAAAGCGCACGUAGGCGGCUUUCUAAGUCAGGGGUGAAAUCCUGGAGCUCAACUCCAGAACUGCCUUUGAUACUGGAGAGCUUGAGUCCGGAAGAGGUGAGUGGAACUCCGAGUGUAGAGGUGAAAUUCGUAGAUAUUCGGAAGAACACCAGUGGCGAAGGCGGGUCUCUGGGCCGAUACUGACGCUGAGGAGCGAAAGCGUGGGGAGCGAACAGG
rnacentral:rRNA from 1 species